rnacentral:tRNA from 1 species
AGUGGAAUAGCUCAGCGGGCUAGAGCAGUCGGCUUAUAUCCGACAGACCAUUGGUUCGAAUCCAAUUUCCACCA